GGAUUGGGAUUAAGGGGUAAGAGAGGAGGGCAGGGGAGUCGGCGGUGGUGAGGUGGUUAGAGGGGGGCGGGCGAGGUGCGACCGCGGCGGCGUCUUGUCCGGAAUGGACAGGGCUAGGUAGCUACGGGAGAGAAGAGGGGAGAUAUACGCAGCGGGGCAGGGGUAGAAAGGGUGGCGAUACCGGUGGUCGGGCAUGGAGGGUGGGGUAAGGUCUAGUGCGGGAGCUCGACGCCGCUGUCACCACCGUCGCCCAGGUUGACGACGCCGACCUGCUGCCAACUGCGGCAGACGCGUCUAGUCAAGCGGAAGGACCCAGCGUCAGUUCGUCUCGUACACGGUGCCGCUAGAUGCGACGGGUAGAAUUGGUCUAGCUGCGACUACUCUCCAGAGAUUACAGGGAACGUCACCGGUGCCCAGGUAGAAGCCAGGUGCCGUUCGAUACCACUCCAUGUGUACCGCGACUACCUACGUCACAUGUCCCCGCGGUGGCGGUGCGUCGACCGGUGGCCGAAGACGGACGACGCCAUGGCACUGCUCGUGACGAAGAGCCGAAACGGUCCCGGGAGGGCGGGGCACAAAUACACGACUAGGAGCAGUAGUAGAAGCAGCCUACCAAAAGAACCUUCAACCAGAACAUAGUAAAGAUGAAGUUCCUUUACUUCGGUGACCAAUACCAGAGAAACCGUGUGUUGAAUUAAACAAUAGAGACUUUGACAUCGGCCGACAUCGGUCACGACUACAUGAAGAGUUCGCGAGGUAGUGCCCGAGUUUCUCAUGAGGUCGGCUUGGUGUGAGGGUGCCGAGAUGCAGCUACUGCUCAAGAAACCACCGGCGUGACAACCAUUACGGGGACUUGGGGUAAGAGUAGGGUAAUGUCGCCCGAUCUGCAGCAGGAGGAGCUACGCCGGCAGGGGCUGCUCGAUAGAACCGGUCUCCUCCGCCUCGUCGUUCCGGAAGAUAGUAGCACGUACCUGGCUGUCAACGUAGGAGGACGAGAGGAUCACACCUUCUUAUUAAGAACGUCUACACUCCCUUCUUGAACACCUCUCCGAACGGAGCGAGAAGUGUCUCCCGGUUACGUAUGAACAAAAUGAAGACCUACUUGAACAUAGAGAUAUAUACAAACAUUUACAGGGGUUACACCGAAAUCACUACAGUAGAUCCUACGAACAACAUUACCUACUAAGAAAAUCUUUCCCAGUACCUACUUUAUUGUACCUUUAAACAUUUGAACCAGUUUGAUACCCGGACCAUGCAGUUUUAUUAACUCAGCACAUUCAAACAACACGAUCGACCCGACUACCUACCUUA
rnacentral:rRNA from 1 species